rnacentral:tRNA from 1 species
GGGGAUUUAGCUCAGCAGUAGAGCACUUGCCUAGCAAGCGCAAGGCCCUGGGUUCGAUCCCCAGCUCCA